UACGUAGGUGGCAAGCGUUGUCCGGAUUUAUUGGGUUUAAAGGGUGCGUAGGCGGCCCUGUAAGUCAGUGCUGAAAUAUCCCGGCUUAACCGGGAGGGUGGCAUUGAUACUGCAGGGCUUGAGUACAGAUGAAGUAGGCGGAAUUGACGGUGUAGCGGUGAAAUGCAUGGAUAUCGUCAAGAACACCGAUAGCGAAGGCAGCUUACUAGCUGUAACUGACGCUGAGGCACGAAAGUGUGGGGAUCAAACAGGG
rnacentral:rRNA from 1 species